GCCCCACCCCCCUCCACCUGCGCAUGCCCAGAGCUCGAGCGGCACCAAACGCUUCCCUGCCCUGGGAGAGGCGCCAACGGCCCCGCACGAGCCCGGCUCGUCCUCCCCGGUGCGACGUCACUUCCGCUCGCGGGAGAGUCAGGAACUACCUCUCCCAGCCUGCCCCGGGGCCGGCUCCGCCCUCUCCAGCCCAGCCUUGGGUCUGUCGCUGCUGCACCGUGGGUUUGUGAGACUGCGAGCUGUAGGAAUCAGCCUCUCCGAGGGCCUUUUUAGAAGCAAGGUUGGACGUCUCGCUGCUGCGGGCAGCGAAUUCUUACCCGAGCAGUUCCUGAGAGCUGCGAAGGGCCCUACCUCUGGCCUUGUGGUGUUCUGAACAAGAAUUAUUACACUGCGGUCUGCCCCAGUGAGUGGGGGCUAGAUGAUGACUGGCAGCAGCCACUGAGGCAAAGUCGGUUUAGAGGGUUGGGGGUUCCCCUGGGCGGGGAAACUCAGAAUAAGGGGUUACUGCAGGGGCAGCACCCCAUGGUAAAGGGCACCGGGGUCCGGCAGGGACACAGGUGCCAGCGGCAGGCUAGACACUGGCCAGUAGGAGGUGCUCUGUACACUGGAGAGCUAAUUCCCUAGGAGGCGCUGUGUUGGUGAGUCUCCACCUCGCUACAGUGCCAUUGGAUUAGAGGAGAUUUUCUGGCAAGAACCACCAGGAGAGCAAUGUAUGUGUAAUAUAACUAUGUUAAAAACUCCCACCUUUCCCUAUUACUUCCCAGGUCAUGAGGGUAAAAGAACUAACACACUGGAUACCAGUAAUAUUCUAAACUUUUACUUUUCUUGUUCCCCACCUUCAUGAGCCAGCUAUCCUGCAAUCCUGGUGCUAGACUGGAGCCAGUGCCCCAGUAGGGUAAAGCCCCUUAUCCCAUUCCUGAACCCCUCAGCCAGCCAGCCCCCUUCCCUGGAGUCGGAUCAGAGCUGGCACGCUCUCUAUAGAAAGGCCCCAUAUCCAUUCCCUGACCCUCUGGGCCAGCCAGUCCCCCAACCCUGAGGGUGAACUGGAGUCAACACUCCCAAGACGGGAAAGGCCCCAUAUCCGAUUCUCACCCCCACCCUCCACCUCCUGUUUGGCUUCUGGGACCUACGACAUGAUUUGCUCACUGCUACAGGGGUGUGUUUUCUCUGUGUCCUGAAAUAGUUCAUUUCACACUGGUCACACCCUGUGCUGGGCUUUGGACAUCCCAGCUCUGAGACCGCAUCCCUGGGCACCAAGCUGCUACUGACCAUUGCUUUGUGCCGGUUAGUGUCUCAGUGAGGAACUGGGUUGCAGGAGUGGGUGAAGAGAGCUCAGAGACCGUCACCCUUACGGCUUUUCUGCGGGAGCCCUGGGUGCCCUUCUUAUGAGGGGCUGGAUCCACAAAAGCCAGUGUGCUGAAUGGAGAGCUGCCGAAGCCAGCCAGUCAGAAAAGCUACGGAGAGGGGUGGCCCAAGCCUUCUGCCACAAAGGGACUUAGAUGCCUCCUGUUGGUUGCUGUCAGUUGGGCUCCUAAGCCUGGUCAGCCCUGCUCACCUAACUCCACCAGAGGUGGAACCCUUUUUCUCUGCCUGAGCUCAGUGGUUUGAGCACUGAGUCAGCAAGAGGGAGACCCUACUUCAAAACCCAUCUCUAUCUGAUAGGAGCAGCGAUGGGCACCCAGGUCUCCUACAUCCCAGCUGGGUGCCCUGGGUGGGGCAGUCUCAAUUGCCCCUGCUGGCGCUGUUCCACUUUGCAUAAAUCAUUAAACAUUAAUUGCACCCGGGAGAGUGAUGCUGCAACCUGGUGGUCAGGGCACCCACCUGGGAGAUCAGGGUUCAAAUUCCCUGUUCCAAUGAUUUAACCAAACUGGAGCACCUUCAACAGGAGAGAUGGAGAGCGACCCACAGCAGAAGAUCCCCUGACAAUGAUUUACAAGCUUUCGUUAGAGAUCUCACUGCUGUGCUUCCUGGAUAAAUAUCAUAAAAUCAGUGUAUUCGG